GAGAGACCUCCGUCGGACACGUGUUUCACCCCCCCAGUUCCCGUAGGUGCUCGUGUGAGGACGCGGCAGAAAGCGACGCUGCCUCCAGGAAAGCAUCCAAGGCGUGAGGGAGCCCCAGCACUCCCAGCUCUGCUCCAAAGGAGCGAUUUGUGUAGGGACAGGAACAUUUCCCGUGGCAGCCCACGCCGCAGGGUUGAGGACGCUGAAGUGACAAUGCAGUUGCUGCAAAAAUGAACUGUUUUCAAUGUCUGUGAGAACAGGACAAGCAGCAGUGGACUCAAGCAGCAGCAAGGAAAACUUUUUCUUCAGACAUGAGGUAAGUU